ACAUUAGGCUUGGCUCUUCUAACCACUUAUAACCUCAUCUAAAAAAACACGCUACACAAAAAAACGCCGCUCCAGCCCCCUUCUUCUUCUUCGUUCUCAGCUCCAAGAUUGGUCGCCACUGCCCCUCCCUCGCCGGUCGCCAAUGCUGCUGCCAAGUGCAAUUUCUUAGCACCCUUUGCAUCAGGUUAGGUUUUUUUUUUUUUUUUUNUUCUCUCCUCCUUUUUAGUUGGUUUUUUUUUUUUUUUUUUUUUUUUUUUUUUUUUUUUUUUUGAUUUCUUAUAGGGUACCAAUUCUAUGGUAAUUGAUAUUCUAUUGGGUGAAAAUGGUAAUUGAUAUUCUAUUUGGUGAAAAUGGUGAAAUUGGACGAUUUGGUCUGCCUAUUAUCAUCUUUCCACUUUGUUAUGCAAGAAUGGAAUGAAUCAUCACAAGGCAAUGAAAAAGCAUAUUCGUUUGUUUCAAAGCUAGCUUCUAUGAUGAAGUAAUGACUAAUGAUGGGCUGAAUUGAAUGAACCAUCUUUGAUUUAAUGAAAACAUGUCUGUUUACCAUGUAUAAAUAUGAAAGAUUUUUUAAGAAAUUAUUAUUUGCUAUUUGAUUGAUUUAAUUUCUUAAUGCAAUACAGUUUUCAUUCUUUCAUCAGAAAAAAUUUGUUGAUGAGAUUAGAAUAAUCAUUGGUAAAAUCUUUGUUGAAAUGGAUUUUUUUUAACUUAUUUGCUCAAUUGUUAUCACCUGUAUUUGUUGAAUGGAAAUCAAGUUUAUGCUUAUAUGAAAGUUUGUGCUUAAAUAUGUUGAAUAUGCUAAAGUUUUUGGGAAUAAGACUUAUUAAGGUAAUAUUUUUCGGUAUGUUUGCAUCUGGGAAACUAUCUUUUUUUUGUACACAUCUAGGUAACAAAUUUGUUGGAAGUGUUCACAUAUGACCAUUAUGACCUACUAUAGCAUGUUAAAUCCUAGAUGUGAACGCUUUCAACAAGUUCGUUACCUAGAUGUGUACAAAAAAAUAGUUACCCAAAUAUGAACAAAACAAAAAGUAAAAAUUAAAUUACACGAAUGGUCCCUAUGGUUUGGAGGAAUUUGUGUUUUUAGUCCCUAACUUAUUUUUUUAACUUGGAUGGUCUCUAUUGUUUAUUUUUGUUGUGCGUUUGGUCCCUGUCUUACCUAAAAAGACUAUUGUGCCCUUAUUAAUUUAUUUUUUAAUUAAUUUUCUUAUUUAUGUAUUUAAUUUUUACAUAUUUAAAAAAAUUAAUAGACCACACAAAUCUGUGUGGUAUAUUAAUUUUUUUUAAAUAUGUAAAAAAUAAAUACAUAAAUAAGAAAAUUAAAUAAAAAAUAAAUUAAUAAGGGCACAAUAGUAUUUUUAGGUGACAAAGGACCAAACACGCAACAAAAAUAAACAGUAGGGACCAUCCAAGUUAAAAAAAUAAGUUAGGGACCAAAAAAAAAAAGAAUUCCCCCAAACCACAGGGACCAUUCGUGUAAUUUAAUUUUUACUUUUCGUUUUGUUCAUAUUUGGGUAACUAUUUUUUUUGUACACAUCUAGGUAACGAACUUGUUGAAAGCGUUCACAUCUAGGAUUUAACCUGCUAUAGCAGGUCAUAAUGGUCAUAUGUGAACACUUCCAACAAGUUUGUUACCUAGAUGUGUACAAAAAAAAGAUAAUUACCCAGAUGUGAACAUACCGAAAAGUUAAUUACCUUAAUAAGUCAUAUUUCCAAACUUUUUUGUUGAUUGUGCUGUAUAAUCUUUGGUUAUAUGGUUUUUUUUGUUCGUUCAUGAUGCAUUGUUGUUGAAUAUGUUAAACUUAUUUGUUGAUUAUGUUGAAAUAUGAUUAAUCUUUGUUGCUAAAGUAUGUAUUCUAUAUAUAUAUAUAUAUAUAUNNNNNNNNNNNNNNNNNNNNNNNNNNNNNNNNNNNNNNNNNNNNNNNNNNNNNNNNNNNNNNNNNNNNNNNNNNNNNNNNNNNNNNNNNNNNNNNNNNNNNNNNNNNNNNNNNNNNNNNNNNNNNNNNNNNNNNNNNNNNNNNNNNNNNNNNNNNNNNNNNNNNNNNNNNNNNNNNNNNNNNNNNNNNNNNNNNNNNNNNNNNNNNNNNNNNNNNNNNNNNNNNNNNNNNNNNNNNNNNNNNNNNNNNNNNNNNNNNNNNNNNNNNNNNNNNNNNNNNNNNNNNNNNNNNNNNNNNNNNNNNNNNNNNNNNNNNNNNNNNNNNNNNNNNNNNAUAUAUAUAUAUAUAUAUAUAUACACACACACACACACACAUUUUUAUAUGUAUAUUGUUUAUAUAGUUGCCAUUAAUUCUUAUAUUACUUUUGUUAUAUUGAUUUGAUUUAAGCACAUCCGAAAACCGCUUCUUUGAAAACCGUCCCAUUGUUGUUUCCAUAGCUUUGUGCAGAACUCUAUGAUGGAAACAGUGCAUCUGGUAAUCUCAGUUAUGCCACAUCCCAAACACCAUCGGGACAGGGAUCAUCUUCUUUCCAUGUCGCACCACUAAAGAUUAUGGACGCCCCUUCCAUUAACAUAGAUGAAGGUGAUUAUUUUUCCAAUCAUACUACUGAGCAUUUUACUCAGCAACCACCUUUUGUUGUUUCUCCUUCUGCUGAUUCACCUUCUGGUAACCCUAACAAAAGAGCUAAACCCUCAACUCCUAGACCUCGAGCUCAUAGUGCCUCACCUGAUCCACCUUUGUGUGCCUCGCCUAAAGCUUCUAUUACUGCUGAUGAUUUAGAGAAGCUUGAGUUGCUCGAGUUAGGCCCAGUAGACCCUCUACGAUUUGUUGUGUAUCACAUUUUUGGAGGGACCAUGAAUAUAAAAGAGAUAUGGGUAAUUUGCCCAAUGAUCCAAAAAUACUAAGAUGAUGGAUCGAGAUCACAGCUACAAGUUUAGGAGUUCUAAAGGAUGGAAAGAUUGUUCGUUAAGUUUAUGUGUUUGAGUUGUUUAGGUUUUAUUUGCUUUUUUUGGAACUAUAUGGUUAUGUUUUUUGGUUAUUUGCUACUUGGAUGUUAUUUGUAGUAUUUGGUACUUGAAUUUUAUGUUUUUUGGUACUUGAAUCGUAUGUUAUUUGGUACUUGAAUCUUAUGUUAUUUGAUAUUUGAGUUUUAUGUUAUGUUUUUGGUAUUGGAGAUUUAUGUUUUUUUUUGGUACUUGAAUCUUAUGUUAUGUUAUGUUUUGUUGAUUAAUAGGUUCGUAAUGGAUCACGAUAAAAAGAUACUACUCAUAAUUCUAAUGUACUUGUACGUCCGCUACUUUUGGAAGAGGGGUGUCAAACGAGUGCGGGAUAACGAUUCGGAAAUGACGGGACAUGAAUUUACGUUAGAGUUACUUCACCGUAAUCCUCUAUAAUGUCUUGAAGUUCUACGCAUGUCACGUGAAUCAUUUGUCCGGCUAUGUGCUCAUUUUAGAGUAAACUACGCGUUAAAGGAUAGCAAACAGGUGUCGGUUGAGGAGAAGAUGGCUAUGUUUUAUAACGAUCGGUCAUAACCAACAUUAUGUGAUUAUCAAGCGGAGAUUUCACCACUCAAAGCAAAUAAUUCAUAAGUUUUUUCAUGAUGCGUUGGACAAAAUGUUGCUUUUCGCACAUACAUUAUAGUACCAACUUCUUUUAAUCCAAAUCCAAACAUUCCGGGACAUAAUAGAGGCUACGACGGGGGUUCAAGGGAGUUUAUAACGAUCGGUCAUAACCAACAUUAUGUGAUUAUCAAGCGGAGAUUUCACCACUCAAAGCAAAUAAUUCAUAAGUUUUUUCAUGAUGCGUUGGACAAAAUGUUGCUUUUCGCACAUACAUUAUAGUACCAACUUCUUUUAAUCCAAAUCCAAACAUUCCGGGACAUAAUAGAGGCUACGACGGGUGUUCAAGGGAACAGUUGGUGCACUUGAGGACACUUUGAUACAUGUUGUUGUCCCUGCAAACAAAUGAGAGUUAUAUAGAAGUAGGGGAAAAGGCAAUUAUUACCAAAAUGUAUUGGCAAUAUGUGACUUCAACAUGAUGUUUACAUUUGUUGUGGCCGGUUCAGAAGGGAUAACACACGAUUCUAGAAUUUUAUCAUAAGCAUUAGCAAAUCCACAUGCACCAUUCCCGCUUCCACCAUAAGGUACAUUUAUGGUUAUUUAAAUAGUUUUAUCUUAGUUUGAAAAAUAAAUGACUUUUUUUUUGUUUUUUUUUUUUACAGAAAAUAUCAUCUUUGUGAUGCUGCCUAUGCAAACAUUCGAGGUUUUAUGGAACCGUACCGUAAUGUAAGGUAUUGGAUUGGAGAUUUCCGUCGAAGACAUGCAUUAACAAAUGAAGAAAAAUUUAACCAUGCACACGCAAAACUUCAGAAUGUCAUUGAGCGUGCUUUUGGUGUCUUGAAAGCACGAUUCCCUGUAUUAAAGAGGAUGACACCAUUCUCGUUGGUUACACAACAAAACAUUACCCUAGCAUGGUUUGCGCUUCAUAAUUUUAUAAGAAGAGAGGGACUACGUGAUGAGUAUUUUGCACGAUAUGAUGAAGCAAAUGUCUCGGUUCGGAAUAACAAUGCAGUCGUUGAUAAUGAUGAAGAUGAGAUUCCAACAAAUGGUACUGCAGUGGACCGUGAAUAUAUGACCCAAUUACGUACAUAAUGAAAUUGCCGAACAAUUGAUGCAAAAUAUGGAAUGAGAAUUAUUAAAGUUUGGUUGUAUGAUUUUUAUUUAAAAAUGUUAUUGUAAGACUAACUUGGUUGUUUGAACUUUAUUUCAAUGUUUUAAGACUACAAUUAUUAAAUUUUUGAUAUUAAAAAAACUAUUUUCGGUUUAUUAAAUUACUUUAUUUUAAAUUUUUUAAUAUCUGCAGCAGUCUGCAGACGUUAAAAAAACAAACAUGCUUCUCAUUACAAUCUACAACACUUUGGUCCACCUUUUCUGCUGCAGAUGGCUGCAGAGGUGGUCCGCAGAUUUCAGAUAGUUUCACUUCGGAAAAACAAACAAUACCUUAAUGUUGUGUAAUUAUCUCUCUUCUACAUAUAAUUUUGUGUCUCUUGUUGUGUACAAGAUACAUAGCUUAUCUUUAAGUUAAAAAACUAGUAUUAAAGCCAAUCUAUUGUUGAACUCUAAGUUGUUGGUGGUGUGAAGAGACUCAAUAAUCAAAAUUACAAUACGCGAUCUACUUGCAUCCAAGGUUCUAAAUGGCGUGAGGCGUGGCGUGGCGGCAAGGCCAAGCCUCAAGCUUAACGAGCCAUGGCGAGCUACGACGUUUUUCAAGGCGUGAUGUAAGGCGGCGAUUUUGUAUUAAUUUAAAAUUAUAUUACCACAUAAAUAUAAAUUUAUAUUAAAUAUAACUACUUUUUAGAAGUGUUAAAUCAAUAACUAAUAACAAAAAGUUAACAAAAACCACAAUACUUGUAUCUCCGGUUUGAAAAAACAUAACAAAGAGAAAAAAACUGACGAAAAAACACGCGUCAUAACACGCCAUAACGCGCCAUAUCUCGCCUUGCCACGCGUUACGCCUAACAGCAACGUUAUGAAGCUUUUCGUAACGGCGAAGCCACGCCUCACGCCAUGGCGCGCCUUUUAGAACACUGCUUGCAUCACAUCGUAUUUGCAAGGUCAAGAUCUGUGGGAGGUUGAAAAAGGUGAUGAGACAAUUCAACAUAAAGUGGAAGACAACAAUGAUGUUUUUACAAAAAUGGAAGAUCAAGGCGGGCAAAGUUAUGUUCAUUUUGAAGACAACGGUAGAAGAAGAUUUGAUCGAACAUAUCAGAGAUGUGGUGAACCCAAAGGAAGCAAGGGAUACAUUGUUUGUAUUAUUCUCAAAGAAGAAUGACACUAAACCCAAACUUCUAGAGAACGAACUUCUUUUGGUAUCACAGCAUGACAUGACUAUUCCAUAAAUUUUCCACAAAGUCAAAACUAUAUGCAUAGAAAUUAUGAAACUUGAUUAGAGGCACGAAUUGGUGAAACAAGGAUGAAACGUAUCCUAAUUCAUGGCCUAAAACUAGAAUUUAGAAGUUUUAUUGUAACGAUCUGUAACGCCCGUAGAUCCGGGCUAAUCAAUUUAGAGAUAAUAGGGGUCGAAAACGACUUUUCGACAAAAUAUUAUUUACAAUAAAUAAUCUUAACAAAGAUGUAGAAUAUUUCUCAAGGAUUUUGUACAUAUAAAGAAUGCCAAAAUCCGAGUUAUAAUGAAGAAGUUAUGGCUCGUCGAAGUUUAACGGCAAAACCGACACGGCACCGGGAGACAUAAAUAGUGAAUUUACGAUAGAGGACUUUUUGGACUUAGUAAUCUAAACAAAAGUAGUAGAAUAUGUUAACCUGAGAGUGUCUAUAAAAAGAACGCCCAAAUCUGACUUCGUAUGAGGAAGUUAUGAACUUUCUAAGAUUUGGCUUAGCAGUGCACAUCUCGAAACUCGAAUUUUAGAUCGAGCGGUUUUUGGCCUACGCGACCUAAAUGAGAAUUGUAGAUCUUAUUAAUAGGAACUCAACGGUAAAAAGAUGGACGAAAACAGAGUCCGUAUGUAGAAGUUAUGAAUUUUACGCGGACAUUUAACAGUAUAAUCUCCUCGUUCUGUUAAAUUUAAGAUUGGUUGAGAAUUAGCUGACAGAGUCAAAAUGAAAGUUGUAGAUAUUAUUUUUACCUACAUGUAGAUAUAAAGAACGUCAAAAACGGAGGUCGUAUGUGAAAGUUACGAAUUUUAGAAGACGGAAGUGUGCUAUGCGAAAAUGUGUGAUGUGGCACAAUCUUGGCCAUUACUUUCUCCCCAAGUCUUGCCACUAGAUGGUGACAUGUGGCACCAAGUUCAGCCAUUUUCACCCUAUAAAAUAGAACCUCUCCCACCCACAUAUUCUUCACACCUUUCCCAUUCUUUCUUCUUUUUACUCUCUAUCUAGAACCUCUCUCUAGCCCCGAAACCCCCCGAAAAGCCUAGGGAACCUCCCUAGCACGAGGUGGAAGCCCCGGAGUGCUCAACGGCUCCGAGAAGAAGAGCUUUUCCGCACGGGAAUGCUGCUCCAAGCAAAGCUUGGUUUUCUAUAAAACCCUGUAACACCCCAAAGUUUGGAAAGCCAAGAAAAGAAAGAAAACCUCAAGUUUAGGGGAGACUCGGCGAGUCCAUGGAGGGACUCGGCGAGUCCGAGCGGGAUCCGGGUUGAGGUGUUAGCGACCGACUCGGCGAGUCGGCCAAGGAGACUCGACGAGUUGGGUCUGAACGAGGAAAACCCUAAAUCCGGGACUUGGAGCCUAUUUAAGCGUCUCAUUCUCUUUCCUAGGGUUCCUUUACUGCCUCUCUACCCCAGAACACCAAACCCUAGCCGCCAUAUCCGUUUUUGAGCUAGAUCUUGCCUUGAAGAAUGCACUAAAGCUUGGAGGAGGAAGAAAGACCUUGGAGGUGCAAGAAGGGACUGUAGAUCUGGGAUUGUGGAGUCAUUUCAGACCAAUUGGAGGUAAUAAGCUGUUGCUUGGACUCCCUUUGCAUCUAGAUCUAUUCUUAUGUGUGAGUUUUGGUCAUUGUUGGUAUGAUAUGUAACCAAUUCGAGUUGGAGGUUCAGAUCUGAGGUUGCUACCUCAGAUCCAUGUUGGUUUUGGUCUUGAAUCCCCCUAAAGUAUCAGCCCUUGGUAUGUAAAGAAGCAUGUUUGCCAUAAACCCUAGUUUAGUGUGUUUUGAGCAUAGAUCUCUCAAUCUACACGUAAAGUUUGCCACUUUACGUGGGGAAUAGGCCCUAGAAGUAUGGAUCUAUGAGUUGGAAGUUCUGUUUGGCUCGAAAAGCCACUGCAUGGAUUGAGGACUGGAUAGACUCGGCGAGUCCUUCGAGUGGACUCGGCGAGUAGCUUGAAGAUGAGGAGGAACUCGACGAGUAGGAUGAACAGCUCGUCGAGUCGGUUGAAGUUAGGCAUGGACUCGGCGAGUUGGAUGAACAACUCGACGAGUUGGUUGAAGAUUGUCUUGGACUCGGCGAGUCUGUUCUUGGACUCGGCGAGUCAGAUCGCGAAACCCUAAACCCUUUGAGUUGAGACUCGAAUCAGUGAGUCGGGUGGUGACUCAGCGAGUUGGACAGGACAGGACUUGGAACUAGUUGGACUCGGCGAGUCAUGGACUGACUCGGCGAGUCGGGUCGCGAAUAAGAAAGACCCUGAGCUUAUGAACUCGGCGAGUCUUUAGGAAGACUCGGCGAGUAGGGUUGACCUGGAAGGUUGACUUUGACCAGAGUUGACUUAGUUGACUGUCAGACUAAGUGUUAUAUGUAUAUUGAUAGCUCGGAGAGCUAGAGGAGCAGCGGUUCAGGGGAUUGUCGAGUAGCAGCCAGAGGUUUAUCAGCAGGGCUCAGCAGUUCAGGUGAGUUUCCUUCCAGUAGGAACGGGUCUAAGGCCACAAUGCCGGCCCGUUUAGCUAGCAGUAGUUUCGGAUGUUGAUCUGAUACAGUAGUUAGUAUGUUUGAUGCCUUCGUGGCUCAAACAGGAUUUAUGUGUUAUGUGUUCCGGGCUACGGCCCGAUGUAGUAUGCAGUAUAUGUGAGUUUAUGCCAGUUGAUAUGUUAUGAUAUGCUGUGUUCAGUUAGCUUCGGACUUCGGUCCGAUGGAGGGGACAAGGUCCCAGACAGUUAGCUUCGGACUUCGGUCCGAUGGAGGGGACAAGGUCCCAGACAGUCAGCUUCGGACUUCGGUCCGAUGGAGGGGGCAAGGCCCCAGUCAGUUAGCUUCGGACUUCGGUCCGAUGUCAGCUUCGGACUUCGGUCCGAUGUAGGGGGCAAGGCCCCGUUAGUCCGGACUUCGGUCCGAUGCAGUGGGCAAGGCCCAAUAUGUGCUUUAUAUGUUUUGUGUGAUAUGUGGUAGAUUGGGGGAGCUCACUAAGCUUCGUGCUUACGGUUUUCAGUUUUGGUUUCAGGUACUCGGUUUUCAAAAGAGGAGCUCGGGAAGAUUGCAGAGCACCCACCAUAGUCAGUUAGCCUGGGAAUUUUUGACUCUGAUAAUGCUAUUAUGUUUUGAAUUUAAUACUCAAAAGUUAUGUUUGACUUAUGACACGUUGUUUAUAAAUCCAUUUUUAGUAAUUUUUUAAAAGAAAUUUUUAGUCGUGAUUUUUGGGUCGUUUCAAACCCGUUGUAAGUGAGCUAACGCCUACGCUAUUUUUAAUAUAGCUUUUAUUUAAUUAUAGUAACGUUAUUAAGAACAUAUAGUAGGUAAUUGGGCUAUUAUUAUGGGUUAUAUAAGUAUUAUUUAACGUUUAUAUAAUAGUAAUAAUAGCUAGACUAUUAAUUAGUCUCGGCGAAUAAUAGACUAAACUCUAGUGGUAAUAAUACUAGGUUUCGUCGAAGGAAUUUUUUUUUCAAGAAGUGAAGCGUUGUCUGAGUUCGGAAUCACCACCUUUUCAAGUGAGUGCAUAGUUACUUUCAGCUUACACAUAGAUAUGAAGUAUUUUAUAUAAAUUAUGUGUUGUGUGUGCAUAUUAUCUGUAUACUUGCUAUCUAUGCUGGAUGAACGAUUUUAUAAAUUUUUUUUUAAAAUGAUAUAAACUGUAUAUGUAUUUUAUAUCUACAAAAUGUGUUGGGUAAAACAUGGGUAGAUGUAAUACUUGCUGUGUGACAAAAUAAAAUAAUGAGAGACCUCGUUAUAGAUGUUAUUGAUGAUCCAGUCAUCUAGUGGAGUAUAGAUGACAACCACAAACUAUNAAUGAGAGGCCUCGUUAUAGAUGUUAUUGAUGAUCCAGUCAUCUAGCGGAGUAUAGAUGACAACCACAGACUAUUCUAGACAGUCCAGUGGAACGCUAGCAGGCUCGCAACCUGUAGGUGUUUAUUUGAACUGUGUGUUUAUUUGAACUGUGUGCUCACCAGGUGUACUCCAUCCCCCACAUGGUUGCCUUAAGGACAUUUAUUGCUGAGGAAUCCCCUUAGCAGUAGUGUCCAUCCCGAUGAAAGUCCUUAGACUAGGUCCCUUGUGUUAGAUGUUUUAGGGACGUAAAGAGAGGAUAACGGGAACGGGUAAUCGGGUUUGUUUGGUUUGAUAAAGUUAAUAAACUUAUUUAUUGUGGGUUGAAAACCCUAUAUACUCACCAGGUUUCUCAACCUGACCCACUCAGUUUAUUUAUAUCACAGGUGUUGAUAUGAAGUCACAUUACACUGAGAGAUUAAGGAAAUAUAAAUCACUAGUGAUAAUGAAUGUAAGUUCUGUUUAUGCUUAUGUUUCUGUAUUGACGAUGACAUCCCAAAUGUUUUAAAAUGAAUAAAAAUACUUUUCUUCGGAUAUGUUUUGAAAACGUAUUUAUCAUGUUUUACUGGGAAGAAAUUCCGCAACAUUUUUAUUAAAAGAGGUACUUUGAUUUUUAUAAAGCAUAAACAAAACCGGUCUUUUUCUAGCCGUGAAAAUGGGGAUGUCACACGAUCCAAGGAUGGCCAACACAACCAUCUCUUACUGAGUUCGAGAAUCUAUUAGCAGGACAAGAAGCUUUAGCGAAAGAAAUGCACGUUGUAUAAUUGUAUUUGUAAAAAUAGAAGAAAAAGCCUUGUAUGUGGAAAGAGGGAAGAGGAAAGGUGUUGGAUUAGUGUCUAAGUCCAUAACCAUUUUGGUAUGUACUUGACCCGAUUAUGAGCAUGGUCCUUUUGGGUUGCCUUCACCAUAGAAAUAUGUAGGAUGAAUUAAGGAGAUAAAUGUUUAUUUAUGAUUUAUUAAUAUAUUAUGAGAAUAAUAUAUUAAAGGAGAAAUCAUAUUGUUUAAUUAAUAUUAGCCAAGAAUUAAUUGAUAAUUAAUUUUGUGGCUAAAAGAGAUUAAUUAAACUUAGGGGACUGGAUUUAUAAUUAUAAGAUAAUUGCAAUUGGGCUAUGGAUUACCUAAAUAAUAUAGGUUGGACAAAUUCUAUGGGAAGCCCAUUAAGAAUUCGUCCAAGGGAUAUGUUAAAGGAGUCCAUUGGCUGCUUAGGGCUUAAGCAGACAGAUUAGGAUUUCUUAGUUGUAAACCCUAAUAGCCUACAUGUAUAUAAAGGACCCUGUGCACCAAAAACAUGGUGAACUGAAUCCUUAGGGGUUCUAGACGUUUUUGGGCAGCCUCCUCUCUUCUCCUUCUUCAUCUAGUUGCUUAGUGGUGUUUGUGACUCCAUUAGAGGUGCAACACUCGAGGCACUAAGCUUUCUGAAGCCAAUCAAAGCAAGGAAUUGAUUGUUAUUACAAUAUAACAAUCAAAGGUGAUUGCUAAACCCUUAUUUCAAUUCUUAUAUGAUAGAUCUAGGGUUUAUAGCUUUGGAUAUUCAAUUGCAUAUUCAUUAGACAAACUAGAUCGAAAAGCUAUUAGGGUUUGCAUGUACACCAUAAGAUUGAUGUAUUGCUCAAAACCAAUCAAAAGGAAAAUUCAGGUCAAACUAAAGCUAUGUCCAAAAACGUUACUCGGAAAGACAUAAAAGUCAAGAUUCGGAAAAGAAGUCUCGUGAAUUUGUCAAGGAAGGGUCAUCGGGAGAGAAGAAUCAUAAAUCUGGUAUGAAGAAUAAUUCGAUUUCUGUAUCACAAUUAACUUUAGCCUAACACUUUGUAUUGCUUGGUCCUAAUGAUGUCAAGAUUUACAAGCAAUUUCAGACUCCAUCAACAACAAUCCUACAGGGACAUCAGUGCGAGUCCAUCUAUAUUCUCUCUGCCGAGUUAGCGUAUGUAGACAAGACUAAAAGAACCAGAAUAUAGACUUAUGGCAUAUACAUUUGAGCCAUGUCAACUAUGAAAAGCUUGAUUUAAUGAUGAAGAAGAAAAUGGUUAAUGGUUUACCACAACUAAAAGUGAGAAAAGAUAUUGUAUGUGCUGGUUGUCAAUAUUAGAAGGCUCAUCAACAACUAUAUGAAAGAUCACGCUAUCAACCUAAAGCUCCUUUGGAAUUGGUGCACUCUGAUGUGUUCGGACCAGUCAAACAACCAUCAAUUAAAAGUAUGAAGUAUAUGGUGACCUUUAUAGAUGAUUUUUCACAUUAUGUAUCGGUCUAAUUUGUGAAAGAGAAGUCUGAGACUUUUUCCAAGUUCAAAGACUUUAAAGGUGAAACUGAAAGAAUGGCCAAAAAGAUUAUACGCUGCCUUCAUUUAGAUAAUGGUGGGGAAUAUCUUGCAAUUGAGUUUGUUGACUACCUAAAGGCACAUAAGAUUGGAAAAUAGUUAACCUGUCCCAGCACCACACAACAGAAAGAGGUCUCUGAAAGAAAAAAUCAUCAUUUUGUUGAUAUAUAUGGAAGUAUGAUACAUGACAAAAACAUCCCCGGGUGUUUAUGGGAUGAAGUUAUGAGAAAAACUGCUUAUGUUAUCAACAUAAUUCCUCAGCAAGGUAUGCAAUAUGUGUAUCCAUUCGAAAGAGUGAUGAAUGUCAAGCCAAAUGUAAGCCAUCUCCAAGUUUUUGGACGUGUAUGCUAUGUGUUUAUACCAGGGCAUCUUUGUCACAAGAUGGAAAAAAAGAUAUUAAAUGCAUAUUUGUAGGGUACCAUCAGGAAAGAAAAGAGUGGUGGUGUUGUGAUCCAUUCGCUGUGAAAUGUUAUGUGUCAAGAAAUGUUGUCUUUAAUGAAACAUCAUCAUGGUGGUCAACAAACCAUGAAAUCCCACCAGAUUCUGAACAACUUAAGGAGGAGUUAGAGUCUUCUAAAGUUAGCUUCAAUUUUGAUGAAAAAGAGAUUAUAGUUGAAGAUAAUGAAAUUAAAGUACAAAACCAGCAACCAUGGCAAACCAGUGUGUUUAAUCAAACCAAUGUCAUCAAUGAGAACGUUGAAGCGACAACCCCUAGAAGAUCUACAAGACUCAGAAGGCCAAACCCUAGAUAUGCUAAUACUGUAAUAGCUGAAAGCAAUGUUAUUGAACCAGAUUCGUCUGAUCAAGAACACACAAAACAGGAGUGGAUCAAACCGAUGGAAGAAGUGGUAGCCCUAAUGAGAAACGAAACUUGGGAAUUGGUUCCAAGGACCAGUGAUGUGAAAUCCGUUUCAUGUAAAAAGGUAUACAAAGUAAAAUAUCGAGCAGAUGGUACUAGGGAAAGAUUCAAAUCCCGCCUAGUAGCCUGUGGAUUCUCUCAACAAUAUGGCUUGGAUUAUGAGGACACUUUCAGUCUAGUAGCCAAACUCACUAGUAUACUUGUUCUCUUAGCCCUAUCAGCAAAUAAGCAUUGGAAUCUAUGGUAGAUGGAUGUGAUCAGUGCAUUUUUAUAUGGCAAUCUUGACCAUGUAAAACACAUGGAGCAACCAGAGGUUUUGAAAGUAAGAAGUUUCUCAAUCACGUGUGUAAGCUCAAGAAAUCUCUCUAUAGACUUAAACAGUCAUCAAGGGCAUGGUUUGGCAAGAUAGGUUAGUUUCUCUAGCAUAACGUGUGUAAGCUCAAGAAAUCGCUCCAUGACCAUGGCUGAUGCGAAUCUCUUUGUGAAGAAAAUUGGAAACAAAGUGGCAAUGGUACUGGUGUACGCUGAUGACUAGAUUAUUACAUGCGAUCUUGAUGAACAUAUUGUACAAUUGAAAGAACUUGAGCACUCGUUUUCAUAUGAAGGACCUUAGCAAGCUGAAACACUUUCUAGGGUUGGAUGUAAACUAUGAAGAUGAUGAUAUAGUGUUGCAUUAACGAAAAUAUGCUACUGAUCUGUUAGAGAGAUUUAGCAUGCUAGAGUGUAAAGAUGUUGUGACACCUAUGGACUCUAAUGUGAAACUAUGUGCCAGUAUGGGAAGAGAACUAGAAGAUACCACAAUGUAUAGAAAGAUUAUAGGAAGUCUCAUCUAUCUCAGUCUAACAAGACCCGAUAUAGCGUUUGUGGUUAGUGUUUUAAGUAGGUAUAUGCAAAAUCCUAGGAAGCCUCUCCUUGAUGCCAUUUAUAUAGUAAUGAGGUACAUCAAAACAACCUUUAACUAUGGAGUUAGGUUCAAGAGGGAGAAAGACUGCACAAUAUUAGGUUAUUGUGAUGCUGAUUACGCAUGAGAUGUAAACACCCGUCGCUCAACUAUGGGUUAUGUUUUCAUGCUGGGUUCAAGUGUAAUUUCAUGGUGUAGAAAAUGUCAACCCACAGUCUCCAUUUCCACUAUAUAGGUAGAGUAGUGGGUUGCAGCAAUAGCAGCCCUAGAGAGUAUUUGUCUUGUGCUGCUCCUGCAAGAUUUGAACUAGGUGGUCGAUUAUAGCAUUCAUAUUUUUUGUGAUAAUGCGUCUUCCAUACAUCUUGAUGACAAUACAACUUUUCACACCCGAACCAAGAACAUUGAAGUUCAUUAUCAUUUUGUUCUUGAAAAAGUUCUAAAAGGUGAAAUUGAUUUGAAGUAUGACAUAUUUAUUACUAAAAGCUUGACAAACAAGAAGCUAAUUGAAUUCUGUGACAAAAUGGAUAUGGUGGAAGCUUGUGUUGAGAGGGAGUAUUGAAUUGGAAACACAAUUACUCUUCUCCUCUCAUUCUUCGUGUCAUGCAUGCAUGUGCAAAGCAUGCCUCUAGUAGUUUAUGUUUACUUUCCUUUGUUUAAAUAAGUCUUUGCCUAGUUAACAUUUUUCUAUUUUUCCUAUCUUAGUGGUUACAUCUUUUCCUUGCAGUUUAUGCUCUCGUUUUUAAGCCUAUAUGGCAUAUUUUCUUCUCUAGUUUUUAUCAGUGUUCUAAAAGGCACGCCAUGGUGUGAGGCGUGACUUCGCCGUUACGAAAAGCCUCAUAACGUUGCUGUUAGGCGUGGCGCGUGGCAAGGCGUGAUAUGACGCGCCAUGGCGCAUUAUGGCAUGUUAUGGCGUGUGUUUUUUCGUUUGAGACACAAUUUUUUGCUCUUUGUUAUGUCUUUUCUAAUCGGAGAUACAAGUAUUGUGGUUUUUGUUAACUUUUUGUUAUUAGUUAUUGAUCUAACACUUAUAAAAACUAGUUAUAUACUUAUAUUUAAUAUAAAUUUAUAUUUAUGUAGUAAUAUAAUUUUAAAUUAAUACAAAAUCGCCGCAUUACAUCACGCCUUGAAAAACGUCAUGGCUCACCAUGACUCGUUAAGCUUGAGGCUUGACCUUACCACCACGCCACACCUCACGUCAUUUAGAACAUUGGUUUUUAUGCAUCAAUGUACACAAGUUAGUGUUAUGUAAUUGUCUCUCUUCUACAUAUAAUUUUGUGUCUCUUGUUGUGUACAAGAUACAUAGCUCAUCUUCAAGUUAACACAUAAUACAUAAUGAACAUAUGCGAAAUAUACGAUAACAUUAAACACCAUAACCUUCAUGUUGAUUUGGUGGAACAUGUCUUCAAUGCUUAUAUAAAUCGAGUCGUUGACAAUUGGUACAACGAUUAGUUCAACGAUUAGUUCGACGAUAGAGAUGAAGAGUCGGGAAUGUUUGAAGGAGAUCCUGAUGAUGAUUUUGACGAUGUUUUGAGUGAAGAUGAGCAACAAUGGACUAUUUUAAUAUUUUUAGUUUCGUUUGAAUUUUAAUGGAAUAAUUUUUAUUUUGAUUAAGUAUUUUUUAAAAUUAAUGAAAUAAUUUUUUUAUUAAUCAUAUAUAAUUAUUAUAUUAUAUUUUAAUAUAUUUAACAAAAAAAAGGGAAAAAAAUGAGAGUUAGUGAGAAGUGACAAUUUCCUAUCUAUUAAGGGGUGAGGGAAAAAUAACACGGAGCUAAUGUGAUAGACAAAAAGUUAGAGGAAGUCACAAGCCUUAGUGAACUAAAGUGAGAGGUUGGAAAUUGGGUUGUUUAAAAUUUUUAGAGUAAGAUUAGGAAGAGGUAGACCUGGCAAUGGGGCGGUUUUGGAGCGAAUCGACCUUGAUCCAAAUCCUUUUAACAAAUUUGAAAAUCCAAUUCAAACCCGCUCCGUAACCCACAAGGUUUUAAAUUAACAAAUCCAUACCCUUAUCCACUGAAUCAACGGAUAUCCAAACCCGCCCCGUAACCCAUAAGCUUUUUGAAUUAUCAAACACAUUUUACUUAAUUUAUAAAAUAAUAUUUCUUAAAUAAAAUAAAUGUUGAUUUAGAAAACACAUUAAGUACUCGAGGACUUCCGAUUGGAAUUAAAAAUCACUAGUGUAGUAAUUUCUGAUUUAUUUUUUACUGUCAAUUGUAGUGAUAGAGAAUAACAAUGACAAACUAUCUUUCACUUUGUGAAUGAAUUUAUUGAUUUAUGAAUGAAAUAUGAUGAUUUCUUGAUGAAAUAUAAAUGAAAUGACAUCAUAAUUCUUAGUAGAAGACUGGAAGUCUAGAAGUUGACUCCUUGAUUCUUAUGUAUAAACAUUUUGGACUUUGGCAUUUUUCCUUUGGACUUUCAAUUGAAAUUAAAAUUAAACUUUAAGUAAUAUAAAAUACAAACCAAUAAUUCAAAAAUUAUACGGGGCGGGUUAUAAUCAGAGCGGAUCAGUAAUGGUUCAUACCCGACCCUUUUAAUAAAAGGGUUAGCGGGUAUGGGUCGUUAACGGGUAAACGAAUCAAAAACUAUGCUCCAAACCCAUAUAAUUCUUAAGGGUUUGGAUCGGAUCAAGGUCAAAAACCGCUUCAUUGCUAGGCCUAGAAAGAUGGUAGAUUUAGGUUUAUGGAUUGUGUUUUAAUUCUCUAUUUGUAUCAAAGAAGUAGUAAGUGUAUUUUUGUUUUUUGUUCAGUUGUCCCGUUACCAUGAAAAAUAAGGUUCGAUGAGACUCACCUCGUUCCUGAGUCUCAUUUGAGGAGGGAAGGCGAGGCAAGCAAAAGGAAUAGAGGGAAAGGAUGAUAAGAUCUUCUUCCCAAGUUUUUUUUGGGACGAUUUGGAAAGAAAAGAAGAAAAGAUAAGGGAAUAUCUUCCUUUCUAAUCUUCCUCCUAAAUUGGAGAGAUUUGGAGAGAAGUCGAUCGUAUCCUCAUCCUUUUUUUUGAAGUUUACACAAUUACCCUUUCAUAUCACUAUAUAGAAAGAUGAUGUAAACCAGAAAACAUAUUACGUACAAGAUUUUGCACCAUUCAACGUCUUUAAGCUUUGUCCCGGCAACCUCAAAGGUAAAAAAAAAAUGUUUCUAUGUUCUUAUUUUAGUUCACUGUUAUUAUUUGCUUUGUCCUCAACCAUGAACUGAUCCUAAAGUUUUGGCUUUUGUUGAUUUUUCCCCUACUUUAUUUUCAUACUUCUGUUGCUAGUGUAUUUCUUGGCUUGUAAUUUAUUUUGAGAUUAGUACCUUAAAUAUUUCUUGGAUUAUUAAACUUCAACCCAUCUCAUAAUUUCAUGGAUGUUAUUGGUUAUUUGAUUUACUGUAUAUUCAUUUUGUUUACAUGGGUUUAUAUACAAAAUAACAUGGAGCUACAACUAAACUCUAUAUCCAUAUAAUCACAAACUAUUGACACAUGAAUCACAUAGCCUAAAGACUAGGACUCUUUGAAUAAGUUAAAAAGACUAAUUCAUAUGAAAUUAAUGAGUUGUGUAUUAGCCAUUAUUAAUUAAAAACUAGUUUUUUUUCAUAAAACAUGUCACAUUGUCAAUGGAUAUUUUUGACCUAUCUUCACCAACUCAUAUUCUGAAAUUAAGACAAAUGCAAGUAGUUCAUCUAAUUUGCCUGUUGAUGGUUCUUUUUAGUUUGGUUCAUUUUCGGCCCAUUGAUAUUUUACUUGUGUAUUAUAUAUUGGUGGUAUAUUUAGCACGAGGGGCAUAAUUGUACAUUUGUAAUUUUCGUUUGACCUCAAACUUAUCAUAUUUAUUCUUGAAUUCCGUUAUUCCCCCAACAAAAAACUUGAUUUUUGUUUGUUUUCUAAAACAGUUAAGAAACAUUGGUAUUCUUUUCUAAUUCUGGUAGGAAUGUAAAAAACUUUUUAUAUAUAUAUAUUUUUUAGCGAACAAACAAAAUGAAUCAUUAGAUGAUUCAAAAGUAAGAUGAUCCACAAGAAAAAAUUUAAAAAAAAAAAUUUGAUGAUUCAUUUUUAAGUAAAUCUAAAAAAAUCAUUUAUAUGACAAUUUUAAUGAAUAACAACAAAAUCAUCAUAAAAUGAAUCAUCGAUAUGAUUUUUUUCAGUAAUUUUCUUUUGUGAAUCAUAUUAUUUUUUAUUAUUUUAGUAAUUCUUUUGUUUAGUUCAGCAAAAAAUAUAUAGAAAAAAAACUUAUUAUCUUCCUAUCAAGUUAUAUCCAUAUUAAACUUUGAUAUGGAUAUAUUUAAUAGUUAAUGGGUUUUAAAUUAAUGGUAUGUUAAGUAGAUAGUUCGUAACUUUAUUUCAUUAUUUCAUUUUUAAAUUAACAAAAGUAUAUAGGUUCUCUCAAUCACUCAUAAUUACCAUAGCUAUGCCAUUUACGUAAACAGUAUCACCACUUCGUUGUUCAGUUGUAUACCUGCUAGACUAGNNNNNNNNNNNNNNNNNNNNNNNNNNNNAUUGUGUAAUAAUAAUAAUAAUAAUAAUAAUAAUAAUAAUAAUAAUAAUAAUAAUAAAAUUCUGCAAAAAGAAACAUAAAGUUGUUAUAAUCUGGGCAUGAAUACGGCACAGUAAGCAAAAGGGAAAAUGACUUAUCAAGGUGAUUAAUUUUUCGGUAUGUUCACAUCUGGGUAACUAUCUUUUUUUUGUAUAUAUUUAGGUAACAAACUUGUUGGAAGUGUUCGCAUAUGAUCAUUAUGACCUGCUGUAGCAGGUUACAUCCUAGAUGUGAACACUUUUGACAAGUUCGUUACCUAGAUGUGUAAAAAAAAUAGUUACCAAAAUAUGAACAAAACGAAAAGUAAGAGUAAAUUACACGAAUGGUCCCUGUGGUUUGGAGGAAUUUGUGUUUUUGGUCCCUAACUUAUUUUUUUUAUCUUGGAUGGUCCCUACUAUUUAUUUUUAUUGCGCGUUUGGUCCCUGUCUUACCUAAAAAGACUAUUGUGCCCUUAUUAAUUUAUUUUUAAUUAGUUUUCUUAUUUAUGUAUUUAUUUUUUAUAUUUAAAAAAAAAUAAUAGACCCCACAUAUCUGUAUCUCCUCGGAUGAUCUCUAUUGUUUAUUUUCUAAUUAAUUUAUUUUUUAACUCGGAUGAUCUAUACUGUUUAUUUUUGUUAUGUGUUGGUCUCCGUUUUACCUAAAAAGACUAUUAUGCCCUUAUUAAAUAAUUUUUUUAAUUAAUUUUCUUAUUUAUGUAUUUAUUCUUUAUAUAUUUAAAAAAAUUAAUAGACCCUACGAGUUAAAAAAAUAAGUUAGGUAAGACAGGGACCAAACGUGCAACAAAAAUAAACAUUAGAAACAAUCCAAGUUAAAAAAAUAAGUUAGGGACCAAAAAUACAAAUUCCCCCAAACCAUAGGGACCAUUCGUGUAAUUUACUCUUACUUUUUUUUGUUCAUAUUUAGGUAACUACUUUUUUUGUACACAUCUAGGUAACGAAUUUGUUGAAAGUGUUCACAUCUAGGAUUUAACCUGCUACAGCAGGUCAUAAUGGUCAUAUGUGAACACUUCCAACAAGUUUGUUACCUAGAUGUGUACAAAAAAAAGAUAGUUACCCAAAUGUGAACAUACCGAAAAGUUAAUUACCUUGAUAAGUCAUUUUCCCUAGGCAAAACAACAUGAAUCGUUCCGAACAAGGGUAUAAUUGUAAAGCUGCAUGUUUUCUUUUUCUUUUCUCUUCAAAUUUGGAACACAUUUUUUUUAUUACCAUUUCUUCUCUUUGGAAUUCGAACUUAGGAACACGAAAAUACAAUUCCUUUCUUUUCCCUCCGUAUACUCAUUCCUUUUCUUUUUCUUUCCUCGUGGCAACAAGGUGUGAUAGUGGAAAUAGCAAAUGGAAGGUUGUGAGCACAUUCAAGAGUGUUGAGAGGUUCUUUGUUUCUCCAAAUGCGGAUAUUAUUAGUCAGUUUUUGUAGAAGUUCUGAUCUCAACAAAUGGAGCAAUGCAUCUAACGAAAUAAAGAAUGGAAAAUGGCUAACAGAAGUUACCUAGAAGUAGAUUCUGACACGGUUUUGAGUGUGAUCCUGAAGCAGCCGGAAAUUGAGUUUCGUGCCACGAACGAUUAUGUUCAUCAAUUGCGGCCAAGCCUGAGCGCACACCUGCUGAUGGAUGUGAAUGAUGGGACAUCUGCACAAAGACACCAUUCUUGAUUAGAACCCUAAUUGAUCGACACCAUGACUAGAAAAUCAGAUUUUUUUUUGUUCAACUGAGUUGACAAUGUGGAUUUGGUGUAACUGAACUGACAAUACCUCUACGUCAGUGAGCUAGUAUUGC
rnacentral:lncRNA from 1 species